UUCGUUCACGCAUUCAGGGGUCCUGCCAUGCCUACUGUGCGCCGGGCACUGUGCCAGGAGGCGGGCACGGCGUCCCUCGCGGAGAUGACCGCGUGGCGGCUCCUUCGCACCAGGUUAGGAAGGAGACAGGUGGCCGGGACCCGGACGCUGGCCUUAGGGGACAAGCCUGCACGUCCUCUGCCCAGCGGAAACCAGCCCAGGGCUGGGCAGCUGGUUCUUCCCAGCCCGGGCCCCACGCGUGGCCCCACGGGGUACACGUGCACCUGUGUACGGGGCAAACCCGCCUGCUCCCCGGGAGCCGAUCGGCCGGGUCUCUGGGCUUCACGUCCACCCAGCUCAGCGGGGAUGACGACUCUAAACUGUGUUACCAGCCGGGCCGGCGUGGCUCAGGGAUUGGGCGUUGACCUAUGAACCAGGAGGUCACGGUUCGAAUCCCGGUCAGGGCACAGGCCCGAGUUGAGGGCUCCAUCCCCAGUGCGGGGCGUGCAGGAGGCAGCCGAUCCAUGAUUCUCUCUUAUUAUUGAUUAUUGAUGCUUCUCUCUCUCCCUCUCCCUUCCUCUCUGAAAUCAACAAAAACAUGUCUUUUAAAAAAAGGAAAGACCAGCCCAGGCCGCGCCCCUCCUCUUCGCGGCUCGGGGCAGCUCUGAGCUCGGGGACCAGGGGGAGCAGAAUCAGAACGGGGUGCAUGCAGCACACCUGGGCUGUGGCAGAGGCCCAGGCGAGCUCAUCAUCUUUUCUUUGGUCCCAUUGGCCAGCAUGUAGUCACAUGGCCAAGCCUUGCUGCAGAGAAUGCUGGGAAAUGUAGUCCUUCUCCUUGGUGGCCAUCUUCUUGGGAAGAAUGGGAUUUUACAUUAAAUGUUAUAUUCGGUAUUAGAUUAGAUUCGCAUAGAAUCCGGGCUCCUCUGCGGCCGGCCUCCCGCUUCAGCCCGAGCGUGCCCCUCCUGCCCCUCGUCCAUGCCCUGCUCCCCCCAUGACCUCCCGCUGACCCCCGUCACAGGUGACACCGUCACCCCAGCUGCUCCGUGGGAACUGGGCAUCCCCGAGCUGCUCCCUUUCCUUGGCUCCCACGGCCCCCACCGCGUCUGGGCCACGGCCACGGCCGGAGGACGGCACCACCACUCGCCGCCCAGCACCCAGCCCACUCCUGCCUCCUGCCCACACCCUGACCUGCAACGGGCUGCCCCUCUGUUAGACCCGCGGGUGCCAGGGCCCUGCUUGCCCGCUGCAGGGCUACGGACGUGGACUGCACACCAUGGCCUCGGCCCCCCAGAUCCACCCUCUCAGGAGGCCCUGCCCACCGCCCACCAGCCAGAUGGACGCAGUCAGGAGCAUGCCUGCCUCCCUCACCGCGGGGUCCC